rnacentral:rRNA from 1 species
UACAGAGGUGGCAAGCGUUGUUCGGAAUUACUGGGCGUAAAGGGCGCGUAGGCGGUCUCUUAAGUUCCGUGUGAAAUCCCUCGGCUCAACUGGGGAACUGCACGGAAAACUGGGAGGCUUGAGUUCGGGAGAGGGAAGCGGAAUUCCGGGUGUAGCGGUGAAAUGCGUAGAUAUCCGGAGGAACACCGGUGGCGAAGGCGGCUUCCUGGACCGACACUGACGCUGAGGCGCGAAAGCUAGGGGAGCAAACGGG